CGCCUCUUGCUGAAAAUAAAGAAUAAGAGGUCCCGCCUGCCCUGUGACUAUGAGUUUAACGGCCGCGGUAUUUUGACCGUGCAAAGGUAGCGCAAUCACUUGUCUUUUAAAUGAAGACCUGUAUGAAUGGCAUAACGAGGGCUUAGCUGUCUCCUUUCCCAAGUCAAUGAAAUUGAUCUCCCCGUGCAGAAGCGGGGAUAAGGCCAUAAGACGAGAAGACCCUAUGGAGCUUUAGACGCCAGGAUAAAUCAUGUCAAACACCCCUAAACACAGGGUUGAACCAAAUGAAAAUUAUCCCAUGUCUUUGGUUGGGGCGACCACGGGGAAAUAAAAAACCCCCGCGUGGACUGGAAUUAUACAAUUCCACAACUAAGAGCCCCCGCUCUAGUUAACAGUAUCACUGACCAAUGAGAUCCGGCAAAGCCGAUCAACGGACCGAGUUACCCUAGGGAUAACAGCGCAAUCCCCUUUUAGAGCCCAUAUCGACAAGGGGGUUUACGACCUCGAUGUUGGAUCAGGACAUCCUAAUGGUGCAGCCGCUAUUAAGGGUUCGUUUGUUCAACGAUUAAAGUCCU
rnacentral:rRNA from 1 species